AGUGAACGCUGGCGGUAGGCCUAACACAUGCAAGUCGAACGGCAGCACAGUAAGAGCUUGCUCUUACGGGUGGCGAGUGGCGGACGGGUGAGGAAUACAUCGGAAUCUACUUUUUCGUGGGGGAUAACGUAGGGAAACUUACGCUAAUACCUCAUACGACCUACGGGUGAACGCAGGGGAUCUUCGGACCUUGCGCGAUUGCAUGAGCCGAUGUCGGAUUAGCUAGUUGGCGGGGUAAAGGCCCACCAAGGCGACGAUCCGUAGCUGGUCUGAGAGGAUGAUCAGCCACACUGGAACUGAGACACGGUCCAGACUCCUACGGGAGGCAGCAGUGGGGAAUAUUGGACAAUGGGCGCAAGCCUGAUCCAGCCGUACCGCGUGGGUGAAGAAGGCCUUCGGGUUGUAAAGCCCUUUUGUUGGGAAAGAAAAGCAGCAGGUUAAUACCCCGCUGUUCUGACGGUACCCAAAGAAUAAGCACCGGCUAACUUCGUG
rnacentral:rRNA from 1 species